GGCUUAGAGUUUGAUCAUGGCUCAGGAUGAACGCUAGCUACAGGCUUAGCACAUGCAAGUCGAGGGGCAGCAUGAACUUAGCUUGCUAAGUUUGAUGGCGACCGGCGCACGGGUGAGUAACACGUAUCCAACCUGCCGAUGACUCGGGGAUAGCCUUUCGAAAGAAAGAUUAAUACCCGAUGGCAUAGUUCUUCCGCAUGGUGGAACUAUUAAAGAAUUUCGGUCAUCGAUGGGGAUGCGUUCCAUUAGGCUGUUGGCGGGGUAACGGCCCACCAAGCCUUCGAUGGAUAGGGGUUCUGAGAGGAAGGUCCCCCACAUUGGAACUGAGACACGGUCCAAACUCCUACGGGAGGCAGCAGUGAGGAAUAUUGGUCAAUGGACGAGAGUCUGAACCAGCCAAGUAGCGUGAAGGAUGACUGCCCUAUGGGUUGUAAACUUCUUUUAUACGGGAAUAAAGUGAGGCACGUGUGCCUUUUUGUAUGUACCGUAUGAAUAAGGAUCGGCUAACUCCGUGCCAGCAGCCGCGGUAAUACGGAGGAUCCGAGCGUUAUCCGGAUUUAUUGGGUUUAAAGGGAGCGUAGGCGGACGCUUAAGUCAGUUGUGAAAGUUUGCGGCUCAACCGUAAAAUUGCAGUUGAUACUGGGUGUCUUGAGUACAGUAGAGGCAGGCGGAAUUCGUGGUGUAGCGGUGAAAUGCUUAGAUAUCACGAAGAACUCCGAUUGCGAAGGCAGCUUGCUGGACUGUAACUGACGCUGAUGCUCGAAAGUGUGGGUAUCAAACAGGAUUAGAUACCCUGGUAGUCCACACAGUAAACGAUGAAUACUCGCUGUUUGCGAUAUACAGUAAGCGGCCAAGCGAAAGCGUUAAGUAU
rnacentral:rRNA from 1 species